rnacentral:rRNA from 1 species
GAAAGGGUGCGUAACACGUGAGUCAUCUGCCUGAAAGUGGGGGAUAGCUCGUCGAAAGGCGAAUUAAUACCGCAUGUGGUUGCAAGACAAAGCCGGGGCAACCUGGCGCUUUUAGAGGAACUCGCGGCUAUCAGCUUGUUGGUGAGGUAACGGUUACCAAGGCUUCGACGGGUAGCUGGUCUGAGAGGACGACCAGCCACACUGGAACUGAGACACGGUCCAGACACCUACGGGUGGCAGCAGUCGAGAAUUUUUCUCAAUGGGGGAAACCCUGAAGGAGCGACGCCGCGUGGAGGAUGAAGGCUUUCGGGUUGUAAACUCCUGUCAUUUGGGAACAAGGCCUUACGUUAACUGCGUGGAGGUUGAUAGUACCGAAAGAGGAAGAGACGGCUAACUCUGUGCCAGCAGCCGCGGUAAUACAGAGGUCUCAAGCGUUGUUCGGAUUUAUUGGGCGUAAAGGGCGCGUAGGCGGCGGGGUAAGUCGGGUGUGAAAUCUCAGGGCUCAACCCUGAAACUGCACUUGAUACUGCUCUGCUUGAGGACUGGAGAGGAGACUGGAAUUCACGGUGUAGCAGUGAAAUGCGUAGAGAUCGUGAAGGAAGACCAGGUGGC